UCCUACGGGAGGCAGCAGUGGGGAAUAUUGGACAAUGGGCGAAAGCCUGAUCCAGCCAUGCCGCGUGUGUGAAGAAGGUCUUCGGAUUGUAAAGCACUUUAAGUUGGGAGGAAGGGCUCUGUAGCAUUAAUACUCUGGACUAAUUUGACGUACCGAC
rnacentral:rRNA from 1 species